rnacentral:rRNA from 1 species
GACGGAGGAGGCUAGCGUUGUUCGGAAUUACUGGGCGUAAAGCGCACGUAGGCGGCUCGUUAAGUCGGAUGUGAAAGCCCAGGGCUUAACCCUGGAACAGCAUCCGAAACUGGCGAGCUCGAGACCGGGAGAGGAGAGUGGAAUUCCCAGUGUAGAGGUGAAAUUCGUAGAUAUUGGGAAGAACACCUGUGGCGAAGGCGGCUCUCUGGUCCGGUACUGACGCUCAAGUGCGAAAGCGUGGGGAGCAAACAGG